GUGAUCUCAAACACUCACAAGGAGAUGCCACCCAAGGGGAAAGGAAGGCAAGAUGCUCAAAGAUCCUUGAGGCUAUGUAAUGCAAUGAUAUGAUGCCAUGAGGGAUCUUAGGGACAAAAUUGGGGUCUUACACAUAGGAGAAGGAUUUUCAAAAAGAAAUAAAAGCAAUUACUUAGAUCGAUGCAUAAUAAAAGGAAUAUCAACAAUAAUCCAAUUUUUGCAAGCUUUUCCAUGCGUCACAAAAUCGGUGCAGUCUUCGUCUUCAUCACCCUCGAUUACAGCAGCUAAGUGUUGUUCAUUACCAUGAAUGAACCCUCCACUACGAAAAAUGGAUUGCUCAUCUUCAACCCUAACCACUGAUGAACCUUGUCGAAAACCCAAACCGGCUCUGCUCUUGUUAUCGGGGACCUCUACCAUUUGUCCCCACUGAUCAGACUGACCAUCUUCAACAAUUUUCUAUGCAUCUUUAAAUAAGGACAUAGGUGCCCC
rnacentral:lncRNA from 1 species